UGCAUGACUUUUUACUGACUCAUUUGUCAAAACACUCUGACAUUAUCUAUGUAUGAUCAUUUUAGAGAUUGAGGAAAAUAAACUCAAGAACUGGUGACUUGCCCAGGUCACACUACUGGUGGGUAGCAAAACAGCAGCUAGAAUCUAUAGCUUCUGGCUUUCCAGCCAGUCCUUGUUCCACUACAUUCAUUACUUCUUUGCUGGACUGAAAAGCUUAGGACUUUUCCUGUAAGUAAUACGGAGCCAUUGAAGAUCUGAAGUUUCAAGGAAGUGGUAGGAUGGAUUCUCUUUUACUAUAAGGUUCAGAGUCUGGCUUGCAGACAAGGUACAGAUGGAAAUCUUCCUGGACUCAGGCCAAGAAGAGGAGAAAGGCCCUGUGCCCAUCCUGCUGUGAUUCAGGAGUCUCGCAGAAGACAUCAGAAUGCCUUUCUCUGAGUCACAGUCUGUAUCUUCUAGAAAAGGCUGUCCAUCUUCACCCCAAGCCCACUGGCUCCUGAGAUACGACAUCCAGACCCAGUGCAGCUGGACCUGGCCCAGGAAGAUCAUGCGGUUUCUGGGAAGCACUGGAGAAGGAAAAGGCUGAAGAAAGGAAGACCGGAAAAGAAAUACAAGUCCUUCCGCCUUGGCAAAGAUGAUAGUACCGUUCCCUUCAGUGUUCCGGUUCUGCUCUAUUGGAUAAGUUCCGGUUUGACUAUGACUACGUGAAAAUGUGGAACCAGACCUUCACCCCACAUUCCAGCUCCAGCUCUACCACAGAGGAAGUGCAAUAUCACCUUAGUUAUUCAACACAUUAUGCUCCUCGUGAUACAACCAGAGUUCACAUCAGCAAUCUUGGCAGCUCUCACCACGCUGCUGACUCACGACUCUCUCAUGUCCCAAUUUCCUGUCCAUUGUUCUUUCCUCUACUUGGCCUGAUUUCUAAAGGCCUCUCUUGGUUGCAUUAAGCGGGAUUCCUGAGGGAUUCCCUUGGCAGUUACCUUGGGGGAGCUCUUAGGUUUGGGGCUGAUCCAUGUCCUCUAAAUGUAGGACUUCAAAGCUCCCAAAGAUAGGCAGGCCCAGUGGGAAGCUGGGAAAUGCUCUCUGACCCCUCUGGGAGGGCUGGCAGUCAGAGGGCCUUUUGGAAAGAGUCAGACCUGAUCCAUAAGUCCCUGGAAAACACCCUGCCCAGGGAGCAAAUGCCACUGUGGCCUUGACUGAGGCUUCAGAAGAGUUUGGGAGCUGCAAUUCAUCCACACACGCAUUCAUUUUCAAGUAGUGGUUUGCAGUUCAGGCUUUGGAGCCACAUAAGCCUGGCUUCAAAGCCACUUUCCAGCUUUGUAGGAAGUCUCUACAUUUUUAAACCUCCAUUUUUUUUUCCUGUAAAACUGGGGUCUUCAUGGUACUUAACUUCAUCGUGAUGUUGAGAGAAUGAAAAGAAAAAGGAUAAAUAAAUGGCUUAGCCUCGUGCCUUGGCACAUA
rnacentral:lncRNA from 1 species